GGCCAGCAUCGGUUUGGGCGGCAGGACAAUGGCGGGGGAAUGUGGCCUUUANNUGUGUUAUAGCCCUUGCUNAUACUGCCNNCCUNGACCGAGGACUGCGCUUCUGCCUAGGAUGCUGGCGUAAU
rnacentral:rRNA from 1 species